AUUGAACGCUGGCGGCAUGCUUUACACAUGCAAGUCGAACGGCAGCGCGGGGCAACCUGGCGGCGAGUGGCGAACGGGUGAGUAAUAUAUCGGAACGUACCCAAGAGUGGGGGAUAACGUAGCGAAAGUUACGCUAAUACCGCAUACGAUCUAUGGAUGAAAGCAGGGGACCGCAAGGCCUUGUGCUCCUGGAGCGGCCGAUAUCUGAUUAGCUAGUUGGUAGGGUAAAGGCCUACCAAGGCUACGAUCAGUAGCUGGUCUGAGAGUACGACCAGCCACACUGGAACUGAGACACGGUCCAGACUCCUACGGGAGGCAGCAGUGGGGAAUUUUGGACAAUGGGCGCAAGCCUGAUCCAGCAAUGCCGCGUGAGUGAAGAAGG
rnacentral:rRNA from 1 species